AAAUUGAAGAGUUUGAUCAUGGCUCAGAUUGAACGCUGGCGGCAGGCCUAACACAUGCAAGUCGAACGGUAGCACAGAGAGCUUGCUCUCGGGUGACGAGUGGCGGACGGGUGAGUAAUGUCUGGGAAACUGCCCGAUGGAGGGGGAUAACUACUGGAAACGGUAGCUAAUACCGCAUAACGUCGCAAGACCAAAGUGGGGGACCUUCGGGCCUCACACCAUCGGAUGUGCCCAGAUGGGAUUAGCUAGUAGGUGGGGUAACGGCUCACCUAGGCGACGAUCCCUAGCUGGUCUGAGAGGAUGACCAGCCACACUGGAACUGAGACACGGUCCAGACUCCUACGGGAGGCA
rnacentral:rRNA from 1 species